rnacentral:misc_RNA from 1 species
AACCAUAGAAACCUGCGGAGUACCUGCGGAGGGAUCAUUAUAGUAUAUGGAAUCUCCAUUCUAUAAACCCACUCUGCGUAUCUUGUAUCUGUUGCUUCCAUGGGACUUGGUUCCGCCACACCGGCUUCACGGCUGGUGAGCGCCCAUGGAAGGAGAAACAAAACUCUUCUUUGAAAUGUAGUCAGUCUGAACAAGUUUUUAUAAACGUUAAAACUUUUAACAAUGGAUCUCAGAUCGGAA